ensembl:lncRNA
UCCAUGCUUCUGUGUUGUUAUUACCAGUCCAUGCUUCUGUGUUGUUAUUACCAGCUCCAUGCUUCUGUGUUGUUAUUACCAGCUCCAUGCUUCUGUGUUGUUAUUACCAGCUCCAUGCUUCUGUGUUGUUUACCAGCUCCAUGCUCUGUGUUGUUAUUACCAGCUCCAUGCUUCUGUGUUGUUUAUACCACGCUCCAUGCUUCUGUGUUGUUAUUACCGCUCCAUGCUUCUGUGUUGUUAUUUACCAGCUCCAUGCUUCUGUGUGUUUUUACCAGCUCCAUGCUUCUGUGUUGUUUUUACCAGCUCCAUGCUUCUGUGUUGUUAUUACCAGCUCCAUGCUUCUGUGUUUUAUUACCAGCUCCAUGCUUCUGUGUUGUUAUUACCAGCUCCAUGCUUCUGUGUUGUUAUUACCAGCUCCAUGCUUCGUGUUGUUAUUACCAGCCUCCAUGCUUCUGUGUUGUUAUUACCAGCUCCAUGCUUCUGUUGUUGUUAUUACCCAGCUCCAUGCUUCUGUGUUGUUAUUACCAGCUCCAUGCUUCUGUGUUGUUAUACCAGCUCCAUGCUUCUGUGUUGUUAUUACCAGCUCCAUGCUUCUGUUGUUGUUUUUACCAGCUCCAUGCUUCUGUGUUGUUUUACCAGCUCAUGCUUCUGUGUUGUUAUUACCAGCUCCAUGCUUCUGUGUUGUUAUUACCAGCUCCAUGCUUCUGUGUUGUUUUUACCAGCUCCAUGCUUCUGUGUUGUUUUUACCAGCUCCAUGCUUCUUGUGUGUUAUUACCAGCUCCAUGCUUCUGUGUUGUUAUUACCAGCUCCAUGCUUCUGUGUUGUUUUACCAGGCUCAUGCUUCUGUGUUUGUUAUUACCAGCUCCAUGCUUCUGUGUGUUUAUUACCAGCUCCAUGCUUCUGUGUUUUGUUUACAAGCUCCAUUGCUUCUGUGUUGUUAUUACCAGCUCCAUGCUUCUGUGUUGUUAUUACCAGCUCAUGUUCUUGUUUAUUCCAGCUCCUGUUCUGUGUUGUUAUUACCAGCUCCAUGCUUCUGUGUUGUUAUUACCAGCCCAUGCUUCUGGUGUUUGUUAAUUACCAGCUCCAUGCUUCUGUGUUUGUUAUACCAGCUCCAUGCUUCUGUUGUUGUUGCAUCAGUGAUAUUCUACUGAACUUUGAUUAAGGAAGAACUCGGGAAACAAAAAACAAAUGCAAAUUUAACAGAAAAAACAAAAGGACCGGUCUGUGUUUUGAUGACCAAGGGUGUAUUCAUUAUGCUGAUUCUGUUGCAAAACAUUUCUUAAACGGAAGCAGACGGAAACAAAAUGGGGAGAGACUUACCUGGAUUUGUCCAAUAGAAACUCCAAACAGUUACAAAACGUUCCGUUGUGUGCAGCAGAAUGGGGAAUUGGAAUGCAUCACCCCUGUUUUAAUGUUGCCAAAAGAUAGCUCUUCACUGAACUUGUGAUUUAAAAAACAAAGGAUUCGUGAACACUAAUAGUGCUAACCUUCAUAUAUACACACUGAACAAAAUAUAAACUCAACAUGUAAAGUGUUGGUCCCAUGUUUUCAUGACGGAAAUAAAAGAUCCCAGAAAUGUUCCAUACACACAAAAAGCUUAUUUCUCUCAUUUUUUGUGCACAAAUUUGUUUACCAUCCCUGUUAGUGAGCAUUUCUCCUUUGCCAAGGUAAUCCAUCCACAGGACCAGGUGUGGCAUAUCAAAAAGCUGAUUAAACAGCAUGAUCAUUACACAGGUGCASCUUGUGCUGGGGACAAUAGAAUGACACUCUAAAAUGUGCAGAUGUCUCAAGUUGAGGGAGCGUGCAAUUUGCAUGCUGAACGCAGGAAUGUCCUGCAGAGUUGUUGCCAGAGAACUUAAUGUUAAUUUCUUUACCGCCUUCAAUGUUGUUUUAGAGGAUUUGGCAGUAGGUCCAUCAGGCCUCACAACCGCAGACCACGUUGUAUGGCGUCAUGUGAGCGAGCGGUUUACUGAUGUCAACGAUGUAAACAGAGUGCCCCAUGGUGGAGGUGGGGUUAUGGUAUAGGCAGGCAUAAGCUAUGGACAACGAACACAAUUUAAUUUUAUCGAUGGCAAUUUGAAUGCAGAAAAAUACAGUGACGAGAUCCUGAGGCCCAUUAGAGGUAUCUGUGAUCAACAGAUGCAUAUCUGUAUUCCCAGUCAUGUGAAAUCCAUAGAUUAUGGCCUAAUGAAUUCAUUUAAAUUGACUGAUUUCCUUAUAUGAACUAUAACUCAGUAAAAUCAGUUAAARUGUUGUAUGUUGAGUUUAUAUAGUAUAGUACUUAUAAGCUCUUGAAAACCCUUACUGUCCGUAGGGUCAAAUCUAUACACUUUCUGUAGCAGUUUGCACAGAUCCAUACGCUGUGUGUGCCUCCAGUUGACUCACUAUCCCCAGUUAUACUGACACACAGGUGCCCCAUAAUGACAAAGCAAAAACAGGUUUUUAGAUAUUUUUUUGCAAAUGUAUACAAAUWWWAAAAAAUGAAAUAUUACAUUUACWUAAGUAUUCAGACCCUUUACUCAGUGCUUUGUUCAAGCCCCUUUG